rnacentral:lncRNA from 1 species
GAGCCACUCUGGAGCUAUCGAGCAGUUCGCAAGCUGCUCGCGUCCUGGGAACACAGUGUUCCAGUCGUGCUCCCUGGAGAUCAUGCAGUUGGGAAUUCUCUGACUGUAAAGCGGACCUUCACAGAGCCACGCUGUAAAGCUACAAUCUUCUGGUAUUCUAGCUAAAGGAAACUCCUCAUCCCAAAACCAGGACCAUAAAACAGGCCCAACCUUCAAGACACCUGCUACCCUUGGAAUUCUGGGAAGUGGCCGAUUCCCCAUCAUAUGCCCUGGAGUGAGGAAGCUGAAAACACAAGUACCUGAAGUCUCUCUCCUACCCUGCAGUUUAUCCAAGUGUGGGGCAGGGACGGGAGCCUGUUGAGCCAAGCCUUCUCCAUGACAGACCCUGCAUGGAACAUUCUCCCAUAUCCUCAGAUACUAAGCCACAGAGUUGGGGCCACCAACCUCUCAUUUCAUAAAGUCUGCCCUUGCCUUUUUGAGGUCCCAUGGAGUCUAUACUUUUGUUUUCUCGGUGACUUAUUUCUUACACUCACCAGACAGAUACCCCAUGUACAGUAAGGGCACAUCCUAAAUCCCCGUGCAGCCCUGAACGCUCCUGGGUUUUACCCCAGCCAGUUAUCAUCCCAUUGGAGGCAUCUCUAGAGCCACCUAUAAUCUCACUUGGAAAAAAAAGUUAGUAACUGCGCUCUAACCAGAAAUCCAUUAAAAUGGUGCAUCUGUCUACCACUAAGUCACCGAAUUUCCCUGACUCUCCCUUAAGGGACCCCUAUGCACACAUGAGUCUAUAAGUAUGUCUAACUUUCCCUGGGCACCUCGUGAGGACCCAGGUACACCCAUGAGUCUAUAAGUAUGUCUAAUUCUUUCCCAGGGCAUCUCACUCUCUCUUCUUAAUAAACCCUAACUCCGCU